rnacentral:rRNA from 1 species
GAGUUUGAUCUUGGCUCAGGACGAACGCUGGCGGCGUGCUUAACACAUGCAAGUCGAACGAUGAAGCCUAGCUUGCUAGGUGGAUUAGUGGCGAACGGGUGAGUAAUACGUGAGUGACCUACCUUUGACUCUGGGAUAAGCCUGGGAAACUGGGUCUAAUACCGGAUACGACCAAUCUCCGCAUGGGGUGUUGGUGGAAAGCGUUAUGGAGUGGUUUUAGAUGGGCUCACGGCCUAUCAGCUUGUUGGUGAGGUAAUGGCUUACCAAGGCGACGACGGGUAGCCGGCCUGAGAGGGUGACCGGCCACACUGGGACUGAGACACGGCCCAGACUCCUACGGGAGGCAGCAGUGGGGAAUAUUGCACAAUGGGCGCAAGCCUGAUGCAGCGACGCCGCGUGAGGGAUGACGGCCUUCGGGUUGUAAACCUCUGUUAGCAUCGAAGAAGCGAAAGUGACGGUAGGUGCAGAGAAAGCGCCGGCUAACUACGUGCCAGCAGCCGCGGUAAUACGUAGGGCGCGAGCGUUGUCCGGAAUUAUUGGGCGUAAAGAGCUUGUAGGCGGUUGGUCGCGUCUGCUGUGAAAGGCUGGGGCUUAACCCUGGUUUUGCAGUGGGUACGGGCUAACUAGAGUGCAGUAGGGGAGACUGGAAUUCCUGGUGUAGCGGUGGAAUGCGCAGAUAUCAGGAGGAACACCGAUGGCGAAGGCAGGUCUCUGGGCUGUAACUGACGCUGAGAAGCGAAAGCAUGGGGAGCGAACAGGAUUAGAUACCCUGGUAGUCCAUGCCGUAAACGUUGGGCACUAGGUGUGGGGGACAUUCCACGUUUUCCGCGCCGUAGCUAACGCAUUAAGUGCCCCGCCUGGGGGAGUACGGCCGCAAGGCUAAAAACUCAAAGAAAUUGACGGGGGCCCGCACAAGCGGCGGAGCAUGCGGAUUAAUUCGAUGCAAACGCGAAGAACCUUACCAAGGCUUGACAUAUACUGGACUGCGUCAGAGAUGGCGUUUCCCUUCGGGGCUGGUAUACAGGUGGUGCAUGGUUGUCGUCAGCUCGUGUCGUGAGAUGUUGGGUUAAGUCCCGCAACGAGCGCAACCCUCGUUCUAUGUUGCCAGCACGUGAUGGUGGGGACUCAUAGGAGACUGCCGGGGUCGAACUCGGAGGAAGGUGGGGAUGACGUCAAAUCAUCAUGCCCCUUAUGUCUUGGGCUUCACGCAUGCUACGAUGGCCGGUACAGAGGGUUGCGAUACUGUGAGGUGGAGCUAAUCCCUAAAAGCCGGUCUCAGUUCGGAUUGGGGUCUGCAACUCGACCCCAUGAAAGUCGGAGUCGCUAGUAAUCGCAAAUCAGCAACGCUGCGGUGAAAUACGUUCCCGGGCCU